UGGGGAAUAUUGGACAAUGGGCGCAAGCCUGAUCCAGCCAUGCCGCGUGAGUGAUGAAGGCCCUAGGGUUGUAAAGCUCUUUCACCGGUGAAGAUAAUGACGGUAACCGGAGAAGAAGCCCCGGCUAACUUCGUGCCAGCAGCCGCGGUAAUACGAAGGGGGCUAGCGUUGUUCGGAUUUACUGGGCGUAAAGCGCACGUAGGCGGACUUUUAAGUCAGGGGUGAAAUCCCGGGGCUCAACCCCGGAACUGCCUUUGAUACGGGAAGUCUUGAGUAUGGUAGAGGUGAGUGGAAUUCCGAGUGUAGAGGUGAAAUUCGUAGAGAUUCGGAGGAACACCAGUGGCGAAGGCGGCUCACUGGACCAUUACUGACGCUGAGGUGCGAAAGCGUGGGGAGCAAACAGG
rnacentral:rRNA from 1 species